AGGGCAAGUCAAAGCCAGGCACCACAUAGAUUUGCUCGUCCGGCUCAUGUCUCACCCCUGACCACACACCGGACGAACUCCUCCUCAGCCCGUGUUGCUUUCUUAGCAGUUUUUGCUCUGACCACAGUGAUGCUGGUGACAGGGGAGGAAACCCGGCUCUGUAAGUAGGGACGCACAGAAAAGAGCUGCAUUACACUUAAGCCCCAAACGUCUGACCGAACAAGGACUCCACGGCACAAAGAGGGGUCGUUGCUCCCCGGGGGCAGUGGGACCGUGGUCGAGGUGCAGCCUGGUUUCCUCCCUGGAAGUGGGGAGGGGAGCACAGCUCAGCUGGAGGCAGCGGGGGCCGCAGCCAGCAGGUCCGACGUACCGCCCGAGCUGCUGUACCAGGCACACAGUGGCUCUUGUGGUUUUUCAUGGCCGUGAAUGCUGAGGAGCUCUUCCAGGGACGGGCAAGUGAUUCUCAGCUUCGGUGGGGAAGACAAAGGGGUAGCGCUGUGGUCACUAGAGGCAGGCAGCCUGCAAACAGCACAGCCGAGGAAGCUCUCAUGGUCACGUCCCGGACGAUGCUUCACGGUCACAGACAGCUUUUGGCAGCACGAGAGAACAAAUGAAUGCUACAUCAGGAAGGCACAUUUCUCUGGAGAGCACCUGCUCCUGCAGUUUCCAAAGAUGUCUUGUAGAUGAUCCAAAGAUGCCUCUUCAUCUACACCAACCUGUGACUUGCCUGAGAGAGUUCAGUAGGUCUUAUUGGAAUUUGUGCAGACGUAUUAAACUUGACAUAAAACUUCUCUUUUAUUGCUGUUUUGGUCAUGUUUCUCCCCGUGACAGAUUGUUAUAUUUUCUGUUGGCUUUGUUACUCUAUAACUGGACACUGAAGCAUCAAAUAAA